AACAAGUUCACGAACUUAACUGGCAGACCUCCUAUAUUGUUUGAAAGGCCUUAGCAUUUAUAUUUACUUUAGCUUUAAAAGAAGUGCUUUCCCCCCAUUCUAUGAAGCUGUGUAAAAUCAUGUCAUUCUAUGAAGCUGUGUAAAAUCAUGUAUGAAGUUGUGUGGGUCAAAUUGAGGCAGGACACGUAGCCUAAGAAAUUGACAACCCCCUCCAGGGUGCAACUUGAGUGCUUCACUGGUUAUACCAGUCACAAAGUAAAUGUAUCCAGUACCUACAGCUGGAAAAAAACAUGAACCCGGUUUCCAGCUAAGCUGAUUGCUAUAACUGGGACGUGACCUUUAGCUAAUUAUAAUGUCAUUAUAAUCUCAUUUACAUUGUGGUUACUAGACUCCCAUCAUGCAUCUGACACCAUGACAGUUCCAGAGGAACCAAAUAAAGAAGAAACGGCAGGAAAAGAGGGUCCCGCCCAGGCGGAGAAGAUGAAUGAACCACAUCAAUGGAAUGUCCACCAAUCCCCACCUGAGUCGGAUAAAUACCCCUCAUCAUGACUUCUCUCAUUCCACUUGUUCUUUGAGCUCACCUGCAUUUUCCUCUCAAGGGUGUACUUUCUUUUUCAUGAACUCACUUUCACUUUCCUGCAUGUCUCACUCUUGAAUUCUUUCUUGGCAGAGACAAGAACCCAGUCACUGUUGCUCCAGUUUGAGUCCUCUCUGGGUUGAGUGUAGGGACACGUUCGGGACUCCCCCACAGAAGCCCCCAAAACCAAGAUUGUAAGGUUGCUGCCUUGAGCCCAAGUUUGGCGGCCAACUAAGAGUUAACUAAGAAAGCCUCAGUACCUGCCACACUGAAAUCAGUGUGCUCUUGGCCAAAGUCCUUGAAACUGUUUCACUCCUCUUGCGCUGAAAAACAACUCUUAGACUAAGCAUUUCUCCCUUAGCCUUAGGGGCGCACUGGUUGUUUCCUACCACCUGUUCCUCUGUUAUCUCUAAUAGAAGACUGAGGUCAGUGAGGAUGCGGGUGGGACUGCCUGUCCUCCUCCCCGUUGGCUGCAUUGCAUUUCUGUCUCUUCCUCGGUGUCUCCGGUUGCAAGAGUGACAGUUGAGUCCUCUCCUGGACACCCCUGUGAGCCUCCAGAGGCACCUGUAGUCUCUGCCAGUUACUGGUGUUCCUCAGCUCCUCCCAGCAGCUAAGCCCCGGCAGAUCACGAGUUCUUCAAAAUAGGGAGCGGCUUUGGUGUUCGGAGUUGGUUGGUAUGGUUACUUUUCCCUAAGAGUUCAAAGUGCUUUUGUGCCCAUAGUCUGAAUCUCACAACUCACUUGUAAGAUGCAAAGGGAGACCGGCAGCAUGAUUCCAUGUGCACCCUGGGAGCCGAAGUCAGGUUAACCGAUCAGUGUAGGUCCCCAUGAUGAGUCCUAGGAAGGAACUAGAACCCAGGCUCCAGCCCUGAGUCUCUGCUAGAAGCUUCCAUGCAGGACGUGACUCCAGGCAGCUUCGGCAAAUGACAAGAAUUUGAGGGCUGGAAUUUUAGCUUGUCUCAUUUUUAGUCUCAACCAACAUGCAUUGAUCGAUGAUCGAUGCUCUUACAUUGAGAUAAAUAAGAAAGUGUUAAUUGGCUCUUUUGUUCUUAUUUAGCUUUAUGUUUCUGCCAAGACUUUUGUCAAUUUCCCCUAAACCCCCUUCCUUGGCCUCUUCUGGGCAUGACUUAAGUUUCCUAACAGGCAUUUACACCUCAGCUAUGUUAUAACAUGAACAUUGUAUUGAAAAUAUCUGCUUACCAAUCUCUUUCCUGCUAGAUUAGAAGGGCUUUGAAAAUGAGGACCAUGAUUUAGUUAUCUCUCCCAGAAUCUUGCAUGUCUAGUAUACUCUCUUAAAAAAAAAGAGAGAGAGAUCUAUCAACUAAACUUCCCUGCAGGAGUCAUGGUUUAGAUGAGACAUGUUUCCAUUUCAAAGCUGUCAGUUUCAGAAUGGGGGCUUCAUCUGGAAAAGUGGCUGUCACUCUUUGAUGUGUGGCCUAAGACCUUCUUACUCAGUGUCAUCACCUGGAAAAUGAGAGAAGGUUUUAGUACAUGAUCUCUAAGCUGCUUACUAUAUUCUAAGAUACCAAAGUCUUUAUUGAGCACCUACUAUGUGUUCAACCCUAUACCAGCCACUGUGGAAAGUGAAGACAUCGUCACUGCCCUAGGGAGCAAAAAAUCUUAUCUUACGAAGAAACAGUUCAGCUGAAAACUGUUCUACAGAAGAUAAAGGCUGAAGGAGUGAAAUGGAAGCAAGCAUCUGACCUAUGCCUUCGGUCAACAACCAGUAAUAACACCAGCGGAGGUGUAUUCAAGGCUUUUGUGCCAGGACACCAAGUCUACUCUUGGCACGUGUGGCUACAGCAUGGAGUUGUGACUAUUGCCUUUGUGGGACCAUCCUUCACCAAAAGAUUAAAACAUUUCUGAGAGGCCCUGAAGCACCUUGGGCUCCUGUGACAUCUGAUGGAGGGGUUGGCCCCAUGAAGAUGAUGACAGUACAAAGGAUGAAUGCUUAAUUGAUGCUGGUAAAGCUUUAUUCAAGAAUACUGGGAGAUUCAAACUCUUUGGAGGAAAAACAUCUUUUUCUAUCUCCAGUCCCAUCACUUUACUUGAAUCAUUUACUGGGUGCGUCUUACAUAUCAGCCCUGUGGUAGGUACGUAUAUGGGCAGAGAUUUGUGAAAAUAAAAUGAUUUAUUUUGUUAAAUUUAAUAAAAUGGAAUCCCUUACCUGAAGGAGCUCACAGACGUGCAUGAACAGAAAAAUCACAGUUGAAUCUGGUAAUUGAAUUAUAAUUUUUGCAUUGUAAAAUUACAACUCAAUGAUGAGAUCCUGGUCCUCUGUAUUAACCAGGAAGGUCAAAGGAGCAUUGGACUGCGGUGCUCACACUGUCACGUGCUACCCUGAGCUCCAGCUUCAAGCCACAUGUGAUUUUUCCAGCAGCUCUCUCCUCGUGGAGUCCCCACUGAGGUCCUCUAGAGUGUGGCCAUACUGUCCUUGAAAACUGACAGUGCUGCCUUCUCCUUUCUAAGCCUCGUUUUGAUUCCAGGUUUAAAAUAGAGCCAAAGCUCUGAGAAGUCUCUUGAAAGAUGCAAGAGUUCUCUUUCCCCAUCCAAUACUUGCCUUAUGAAAGUGUUGACAAUGACACUCAUAAGACCUAGCUAUAUAUACUUUCUUCUCCUUUAUGGCAGUAAUAAGUAUUUCAUAGUAUGCUUUGAAACUCAGACAAUUUAGCUCUUACAUGAAAAAACAAAAAAACAUUUUGUAUUUAAAAUGAUCGAAUUAGCAUAUUUCAUUAUGUUUAUAUCAGUAUUUAUUGUAAACUAAUACGAAGAGGGCUAAUUUAUGCAAGGUUUGGAAAAUUCAUUGGAUACUAUGGGAAACAAGGAAGAUGUAUGCAGAGGUAAAUACACAUCACGGCAUUGAUUGAUUAGCGCUAUCCUAGGAGAUUUGAGUACAUUCGCCUUUUACCCUCAUUUCACGUUCGAAUAUAGAGAAGUGACUUCCUGAAUGAAGGCCCUAUUACCAGCAUUGCUUGAUUUAGAACCUGGUGAAAAUCCAGUCCUCCUGUGCUUUCUCCCUGUUCCAUGACAAGUCUCUCCUUCCCCUCUUAACGGCAUACCGUCACUUUACAAAAUUAGAAAGAGGAUGCCAGAGUAAUUUACGUUAUAUCUCCAAACAAAGGGGGAAGAUAUGGGUUCUUUUUCAUGCUUUGAAAUGUACUUAAGUUCUAGGAAUCUAGCUAUCCAUGAGGUAUUUACAUCCAACAUUCAUAUUAUUAUAAUUACAUUUAGUCAGCCAACUGACAAAAUAAAAUGCUAGGCUUAAAAGCUCA